AGAGUUUGAUCCUGGCUCAGGAUGAACGCUAGCUACAGGCUUAACACAUGCAAGUCGAGGGGAAACGAUAUUGGAAGCUUGCUUCCGAUAGGCGUCGACCGGCGCACGGGUGAGUAACGCGUAUCCAACCUGCCCAUCACUUGGGGAUAACCUUGCGAAAGUAAGACUAAUACCCAAUGACGUCUCUAGAAGACAUCUGAAGGAGAUUAAAGAUUUAUCGGUGAUGGAUGGGGAUGCGUCAGAUUAGCUUGUUGGCGGGGUAACGGCCCACCAAGGCUACGAUCAGUAGGGGUUCUGAGAGGAAGGUCCCCCACAUUGGAACUGAGACACGGUCCAAACUCCUACGGGAGGCAGCAGUGAGGAAUAUUGGUCAAUGGACGAGAGUCUGAACCAGCCAAGUGGCGUGCAGGAUGACGGCCCUAUGGGUUGUAAACUGCUUUUAUAAGGGAAUAAAGUGAGCCUCGUGAGGCUUUUUGCAUGUACCUUAUGAAUAAGGACCGGCUAAUUCCGUGCCAGCAGCCGCGGUAAUACGGAAGGUCCGGGCGUUAUCCGGAUUUAUUGGGUUUAAAGGGAGCGUAGGCCGGAGAUUAAGCGUGUUGUGAAAUGUAGACGCUCAACGUCUGCACUGCAGCGCGAACUGGUUUCCUUGAGUACGCACAAAGUGGGCGGAAUUCGUGGUGUAGCGGUGAAAUGCUUAGAUAUCACGAAGAACUCCGAUUGCGAAGGCAGCUCACUGGAGCGCAACUGACGCUGAAGCUCGAAAGUGCGGGUAUCGAACAGGAUUAGAUACCCUGGUAGUCCGCACGGUAAACGAUGGAUGCCCGCUGUUGGUCUGAAUAGGUCAGCGGCCAAGCGAAAGCAUUAAGCAUCCCACCUGGGGAGUACGCCGGCAACGGUGAAACUCAAAGGAAUUGACGGGGGCCCGCACAAGCGGAGGAACAUGUGGUUUAAUUCGAUGAUACGCGAGGAACCUUACCCGGGCUUGAAUUGCAGAGGAAGGAUUUGGAGACAAUGACGCCCUUCGGGGCCUCUGUGAAGGUGCUGCAUGGUUGUCGUCAGCUCGUGCCGUGAGGUGUCGGCUUAAGUGCCAUAGCGAGCGCAACCCCUCUCCUUAGUUGCCAUCAGGUUAAGCUGGGCACUCUGGGGACACUGCCACCGUAAGGUGUGAGGAAGGUGGGGAUGACGUCAAAUCAGCACGGCCCUUACGUCCGGGGCUACACACGUGUUACAAU
rnacentral:rRNA from 1 species